UACGUAGGGUGCGAGCGUUAAUCGGAAUUACUGGGCGUAAAGCGUGCGCAGGCGGUUUUGAAAGUCUGCUGUGAAAGCCCCGGGCUUAACCUGGGAAUUGCGGUUGAAACUACAGGGCUAGAAUCUGGCAGAGGGGGGUGGAAUUCCACGUGUAGCAGUGAAAUGCGUAGAUAUGUGGAGGAACACCGAUGGCGAAGGCAGCCCCCUGGGUCAAAACUGACGCUCAUGCACGAAAGCGUGGGGAGCAAACAGG
rnacentral:rRNA from 1 species